UAGCGGAAUUCCUACGGGAGGCAGCAGUGGGGAAUUUUGGACAAUGGGGGCAACCCUGAUCCAGCAAUGCCGCGUGAGUGAAGAAGGCCUUCGGGUUGUAAAGCACUUUUGUCAGGGAAGAAACGGUAGUAGCUAAUAUCUAUUACUAAUGACGGUACCGGAAGAAUAAGCACCGGCUAACUACGUGCCAGCAGCCGCGGUAAUACGUAGGGUGCAAGCGUUAAUCGGAAUUACUGGGCGUAAAGCGUGCGCAGGCGGUUGUGUAAGUCAGAUGUGAAAUCCCCGGGCUCAACCUGGGAAUUGCAUUUGAGACUGCACGGCUAGAGUGUGUAAGAGGGGGGUAGAAUUCCACGUGUGGCAGUGAAAUGCGUAGAUAUGUGGGGGAAUACCGAUGGCGAAGGCAGCCCCCUGGGAUAACACUGACGCUCAUGCACGAAAGCGUGGGGAGCAAACAGGAUUAGAAACCCUGGUAGUCCACUUAUG
rnacentral:rRNA from 1 species